CUCUUUGUCAGCUGGAGUUGCGCGGUGAGUGCAUCUCCAGUCUUCGGCUUUCGGUCUCCCGCGGGGAGGGCGCCCGGCCGGCCCGUGGGUCCGAUCAGGGGCUGGGCUCGCCCGGUGUCCCCACGAGCUUUGCCCGCCUCGAGCUCCUCUGCUCCCGGCGGCCAGAACGGAGGGGUAGAGCAGCCCUCGGCGGCCCGGGGGGCGGGCGGCGGUGCCCGUCCCGGGGCUGCGCGAGGCACAGGCGCCGCGCCCAGCGGAACAGCCGGAGGUUCCCGGCGCAGGUCUGGGCACCGUAACAAUUUUGCGCUUUGCUUCCCCAGGGCUGACGCGCCACUAUGUAGCGGGUUUCGGGCGGGCCACGCGUGCGGGACAGGAACCCAACCCCAGCCGACCUUGAGCUCCAGGAGUUCGUCUCUUACGUCUGCGGAAGUGCAGCUGCCUCAGUUCUUAGCGCAGGUUGACAACUACAGGCACAAGCCAUUGAAGCUGGAAUGUCCUGUUGCUGGUAAAGAAAUGGAUUAGUGAUAACUCAAGUUUCAUCACCUCUCUACAAGUUUCACGCUGUUUAAGUCAUGAACCUACAAAAGCCUGUGAAAAAAUCUUUGAAGAUGCUCAGCUUGUUUCAGUCUGAAAUUUCUCCAAGACCAAUGAACAAAACAGGAUCAUGCCCUGAAUACACACCCAAGCUGCAGGCUCCUGCUUAGCCCUAUUUUGGUUUGGCCUCCAUGAGAUCUUCAGCCACAAUAGCAGGAGAUAAAAAUCUUCCUAGAAGCUUUCAUCAGCUGCAAGUUUUCUUACAGAAUGAAACUUUUCUGCUAUUUUUCUCAUAGUUAAUUGGCUAUUUGAGAAAACCGAAUUUCUGGCUCUCAGCAUUUAAUUGGAUUCUGUGGGUGACUGGAUGACCGCUUUGCACAUCACCAUGGGUAUCAUCCUUACCUUCUUUAAACCUUUUGUGCCAGUCAAAAAUUCUUGCUCUUGAUAUGUCAUCACCGGAAACUACUUUUUUUUUUUGUUUCUCUUUUGUGACAG
rnacentral:lncRNA from 1 species